AUAGAUCCAUGUAUCUGCAUGUAUAGAUUAUGUUCAUGGAAUAAUGAAAAUGUGUAAGAGAACUAUUUGCCUCUGUCAUUCUAUGAGUCACUUCCUUUUUGUGUAACCCCCCACUCCCUUUGGCAGCAUCUAAUACUUUGA
rnacentral:rRNA from 1 species